AAGCUUCCAUAACUUCAAUUUCAUAAACUAAGGUCGUUCAGUUGCAAAACGAGAUAUCUAGGAAUUAAAAAUCUCAAGAUUAUAAUCUGGAGGUAGUUAAUCCCACAUCUAAUAUGUAAUAGUUAAUACCACUAUAUUGGUAUAAAAUAUAUAUUGUAUUAGGUAAUACCCAUAACCAAAUAUAUAGUAUUAAAACAAAAAAAACAAAAAGCAGUUGCUAUUACAUUUCAGCUGUGACAGUCAAUACUUGCGAUCGCCGGAAAAUUGCGCGAUGAUGACGGAAGCAAAUAGGCUACCGGCGGAAGAAAUCACAAACACGGCGACAUACGUAACGGCAGUAGAGGAACUAUUGAAGUAUCGAUUCAAGAACACGAAGCUUCUAGAAGAAGCUCUAACUCACACUUCCUGUAAUUCUUCUUCAGCUUCUAAUAAUUACCAGCGGCUCGCUUUCGUCGGCGACGCAGCUCUCGGCUUAGCCAUUUCCAGUUAUUUCUUCUCGAUUUACCCGGACGUCGACUGCGGUAAGCUCACUGACCUCCGCGCCGCCAACGUCAGCACCGAAAAGCUCGCUAGAGUCGCCGUCCGCCACGGUCUCUACAACUACCUCCGCCGCAAUUCACCGAUCCUCGAUGAAAAGGUGAAAGAAUUCGUGAUAGCAGUGCAACAUGAGGCGGAGAUGGAGUUCUAUGGAGGAGUGAUGAAAGCGCCAAAAAAUCUUGCAGACAUUGUGGAGUCGGUCAUGGGAGCUGUAUAUGUGGAUUGUGGCUUCGAUGUCAAUGCUUUCUGGGUGAUCUUUAGAGGCCUACUCGAGCCUAUCAUCAUGCUGAAUAUGUUGAAAGAACAACCACAGCCUGUAACAAUGCUAUUUGGACUUUGCAAUAAGGAUGGAAAACAAGUUGAGGUAGAACAUCGGAAAGAGGGAGAUAAAAACAUUGCUAGCGUCUAUGUUGAUGGACAAUUUAUUGCAUCAGCUUCUUCUGAGCACAAAGAGAAUGCAAAGCUUCAAGUUGCAAAGGCUGCUCUUAAAGAGUUGUUCUAUGACCCUUAUGAUAAGAUGGACGUUGAACUUGUUCCAUCUCAGAAAAAAAAGACAAAUGUUGACUUUUCUCCAUUUCAGAAAAUAAAGAUGGAUGUCGAAUUUGACCCAACAAAAGAGAGUGAAGGAGCAAAGCAGAAACUGAAUGAGCUUUGUGGAAGAAAGAAAUGGUCCAAACCAAGUUACAGAAUAGAGAAAGAGAUAGGUCCUGCUCACAAUAGGAGCUUUACAUGCUCUGUGCAAGUUUCAAUUGGUGAAAGUGUGCUUUCUGUGACGGGAAACGAGAAGUCACGAGUAAAAGAUGCAGAGAAUUCAGCAGCUUUAGCAAUGAUUCAGGGUUUGCAAGAAUCCAAGGUCAGUUAAUUAUAAAUAUCCCAUGUUCCAUUUCUGGAUGAAGCAGACAGCACAAAGAGGAAUGUAUAGCUUAUUCAGGUUCUAUGUCGAUGGUGGAAUAGUCAUCUUUGGUUGCUGCAAAGUGAAUAUAUAUUCAGGUUCUCUGUCGAUGGUGCAAUAAUCAUCUCUGGUUGCUGCAAAGUGAAUAUAUAUCCAGGUUCUUUGCCGAUGUUGCAAUAAUCAUCUUUGGUUGCCGCAAAGUGAAUAUAUAUAUAUAUCCAGGUUCUUUGCCGAUGAUGCAACUAUCAUCUUUUGGUGCUGCAAAGUGAAUAUUGGUUGAAAUAUUGUCAUAAGUCUACUUGGAAAAUAUACAACAGUAGAGAGUGCACCACUUAUUACGCGAUAAUGCAAAAGACAUCAGCACCUACCAAAGCAGACUGAGCUCUGGCCAAUUCAGGUAAUUUCUUGUGAUUUGGAGAUUUGGAGAAGGAAAUGAGUGCAAUGAUGAGAAGGUGAACAAUGAAAGAGAGGUAUGUAGUUCUUAGUGAUGUGGAUAACAGAGGGGUGAUGAUAAGAAGGGUAGCAAUGAGCAAAAGCUUUAGAGCUUGGGAGAUUUUGGUCAUCAUGUCCAUAAACAUCUCAAUAGCUACAGGAAAAGAAAGCAAAAGCGAUUCCCGUAAUAGCAACAAGCAAAAUAGGAGCAGCUUAAACCGUGAAAAUGGAAUUGUGGCAGAGAAAUAUAAGAGAUUCUUUUGAUCCUCUAUUUGAUGAAUAUAAAGAUGUUGGGAGAGGGCUUGAGGGGAAGAUAAAUGGUAGGAAUAGGAGUGAUGAUGUUCAAGCAGAGAAGUGGUAGUGGAGUUUUAGAACAAUGGGGGCCAAUUAAUUCAUAUUUAUAGAUGAAAAGAGAAAAGUAUGUGUAUGUGGUAAAUUGGUUGUCUUUAUGUAACUAACAAUAUAAAAAUAUUUUUAGUGUAAUUUAUAAGGAAGAUAAUGAGAUGCUUAAGUUGGUUA